AAACCAACAGGGAUUGCCCCAGUAACGGCGAGUGAAGCGGCAACAGCUCAAAUUUGAAAUCUGGCCUCGGCCCGAGUUGUAAUUUGUAGAGGAAGCUUCUGGUGCGGCGCCGUCCGAGUCUCCUGGAACGGAGCGCCAUAGAGGGUGAGAGCCCCGUAUGGACGGAUGCCAAACCUGUGUGAAGCUCCUUCGACGAGUCGAGUAGUUUGGGAAUGCUGCUCUAAAUGGGAGGUAAAUUCCUUCUAAAGCUAAAUAUUGGCCAGAGACCGAUAGCGCACAAGUAGAGUGAUCGAAAGAUGAAAAGCACUUUGAAAAGAGGGUUAAACAGCACGUGAAAUUGUUGAAAGGGAAGCGCUUGUGACCAGACUUGAGCGCGGCGGAUCAUCCGGUGUUCUCACCGGUGCACUCCACCGUGCCCAGGCCAGCAUCGGUUUCCGCGGGGGGACAAAGGUCCCGGGAACGUAGCUCCUCCGGGAGUGUUAUAGCCCGGGGCGUAAUGCCCUCGUGGGGACCGAGGACCGCGCAUCUGCAAGGAUGCUGGCGUAAUGGUCAUCAGCGAC
rnacentral:rRNA from 1 species